AGUGAACGCUGGCGGUAGGCCUAACACAUGCAAGUCGAACGGCAGCACAGUAAGAGCUUGCUCUUACGGGUGGCGAGUGGCGGACGGGUGAGGAAUACAUCGGAAUCUACUUUUUCGUGGGGGAUAACGUAGGGAAACUUACGCUAAUACCGCAUACGACCUACGGGUGAAAGCAGGGGAUCUUCGGACCUUGCGCGAUUGAAUGAGCCGAUGUCGGAUUAGCUAGUUGGCGGGGUAAAGGCCCACCAAGGCGACGAUCCGUAGCUGGUCUGAGAGGAUGAUCAGCCACCCUGGAACUGAGACACGGUCCAGACUCCUACGGGAGGCAGCGGUGGGGAAUAUUGGACAAUGGGCGCAAGCCUGAUCCAGCCAUACCGCGUGGGUGAAGAAGGCCUUCGGGUUGUAAAGCCCUUUUGUUGGGAAAGAAAAGCAGCAGGUUAAUACGCCGCUGUUCUGACGGUACCCAAAGAAUAAGCACCGGCUAACUUCGUG
rnacentral:rRNA from 1 species